rnacentral:rRNA from 1 species
UACGAAGGGGGCUAGCGUUGUUCGGAAUUACUGGGCGUAAAGCGCACGUAGGCGGAUACUUAAGUCAGGGGUGAAAUCCCGGGGCUCAACCCCGGAACUGCCUUUGAUACUGGGUAUCUCGAGUCCGGAAGAGGUGAGUGGAAUUCCGAGUGUAGAGGUGAAAUUCGUAGAUAUUCGGAGGAACACCAGUGGCGAAGGCGGGCUC